UACAGAGGUCUCAAGCGUUGUUCGGAUUUAUUGGGCGUAAAGGGUGCGUAGGCGGCGCGGUAAGUCGGGUGUGAAAUUUCGAGGCUUAACUUCGAAACUGCAUUCGAUACUGCCGUGCUAGAGGACUGGAGAGGAGACUGGAAUUUACGGUGUAGCGGUGAAAUGCGUAGAUAUCGUAAGGAAGACCAGUGGCGAAGGCGGGUCUCUGGACAGUUCCUGACGCUGAGGCACGAAGGCCAGGGGAGCAAACGGG
rnacentral:rRNA from 1 species